GAAAUGCGAUAAGUAAUGUGAAUUGCAGAAUUCAGUGAAUCAUCGAAUCUUUGAACGCACAUUGCGCCCGCCAGUAUUCUGGCGGGCAUGCCUGUUCGAGCGUCAUUACAACCCUCAGGCCCCCGGGCCUGGCGUUGGGGAUCGGCGGAAGCCCCCUGCGGGCACAACGCCGUCCCCCAAAUACAGUGGCGGUCCCGCCGCAGCUUCCAUUGCGUAGUAGCUAACACCUCGCAACUGGAGAGCGGCGCGGCCACGCCGUAAAACACCCAACUUAUGAAUGUUGACCUCGAAUCAGGUAGGAAUACCCGCUGAACUUAAGC
rnacentral:misc_RNA from 1 species